rnacentral:rRNA from 1 species
GCGCGCAAAUUACCCAAUCCCGACACGGGGAGGUAGUGACAAGAAAUAACAAUACAGGGCUAAUGUCUUGUAAUUGGAAUGAUGGUGACUUAAAGCCUCACCAGAGUAGCAAUUGGAGGGCAAGUCUGGUGCCAGCAGCCGCGGUAAUUCCAGCUCCAAUAGCGUAUAUUAAAGUUGCUGCAGUUAAAAAGCUCGUAGUUG